CUGGAUGAUCAGGGCCUCCAGUACCCAUCCCUCCCUGCCUUCAGAAAACCACACCCGCACUCCUGCACCCCCAUUUUCUUACAGGUCUCCGCUGAGACAUUUUGGUUCUGAAUUCUCUCUAAAUUAGUUGUGCCCUUGAUCUUUUCUAAACCGGGAGAAUGUAACUCUUGAAAAGACCUUAGAGAUCAUCUAAUUCUACCUCCUCCUUUUACAAGUGAGGAAACUGAUGCCUCAACGGGAGAAAGGAGACGUGCCAGCCAGCCUCCCCACCAGCACCUCAACCAGAGUCUGCAAAGGGGCCUGCUUGGGGCCUAGGGGAAGCCUUUCCCCAACGCCAACCUCCCCACCCGGCCCCCUUUCCUGCAGCUGCCAGGCCAUGGCGAGGAUCGUGCCAACGAGUGUCAACCAGGAAAAUGUCUUCUUUCUUGAAAAACAUUGUGGAUCAGCAGGCAGGCCCCCCAAGACCCCAGCAACGCCGUUUGCUCAAAGCCUGACAUACAGUAACCCAGAAACAUAUGUGCCAGGCUUCCGAGGCAGGAAGAAGCAGAUCUGCCACCGACAGGCCCAGAGGCACAGCGAGGCCAAGCACGCUGCUCAGAGCCACACAGACAGUCACGAUGGGAACCGGUCCCAACCCAGUUCUCCUGACCGCAGUCUGCACUCCAACCUCUCCCUUUCCCAGGCCCCCACCUUCAUUUCUUUGUAAAGGUGUGGGACCAUCCCUUGCUCUUUGACUGAAGACCUGCCAGGCCCUGCAAACAUCUGGGAAGGGUUCUGUUGAGGAGGGCUGAGCGUUUGAAGAAAAUACCAGCGCAACAUUCCUGAGGCGCUGCCUCCCACGGCACUUGUGUUCUGCUGGCCUCGAACGAUCGUGGGCUUUUGAGGGAAAGCCUGGCUCUGUCACUCACCAGCUGUUUAACCUUUGGAGGAUUAUUUCACCUUGUGGAGCCUUGCUUUUCCCCAGCUGUCAAAAUGAGACCGUCAGUACUUACUUGGAGUUGUGAGACAGGAAAGUGUUCAUAGUAAGUGUUCAGCGUUCUAUUUAUUUCCUUUCUCUCCCCUGCCCUUAGCAGGUGGGAUCAGAAGGAUGGGUAUACCAGUUACCACUUUACUACUCCAAUCCAAUGAAGGAGUAUUGAGCACCUACUAUAUAUCUUCUUUUGUGCUGACCCUGGGGAUACAGCAAAUCCUAUCAAUUCUUGUUCUGUAGGAACACACAACCUAGUAAAAAAAUAUAGUAUUAGAUGCCUACUCUCUGCAGGUCCUUCACAUAUAUGACACCCCUCAUUUUAUAACGUUCUAUGUGGCCUUAGUGUCCCCAUUCUGCAGACGAAGGAACCGAGGCUCAUAUAGAAAGAAAACAACCAAAGAUCACGCAUCUGGGAAUUGAACUGGCCUGACUGAACCCCGAGACCUUGUCUCCUGAUGGAUACCACUUAAAUGGAAAAACGGUGACCCUAAGGGAACAGGAUUCGUUUUUACCUGGAUCGAAAGCCUUGCCCACAGGAGAGCUGGUCUCAAGAACAAGGGGGCAGUGCUAGCAUUUCUGGAUUCUGUGUGGCAUCAAGACCACCCGGAAGGAUGACGCACAUGUGAGUUCACAUUCUGGCAUGUCUUCUGGGUUUUGUUCCUCCUGCUGCCGUACGUGACAUGUGCUGGGUGAGUAGCUAUGAGAUGGUCAACGUUGGAGCUGCCAGUUCUUAUUAAGAGACCCUGGUUCUUGGCUUUAACACUUUAAAGCCAGUUGAAGACACACACACACACACACACACACACACACACUGCAGCCCAGGAGGCCUGUGGACUCAGAAACUGUUUUAAUAGGCUUCCCUAGUUCUUAAAAGAAUGAAAGUUCCUGGUCCACUCAUCUGAGAGUUGUGGACGAGAGGGGCCACAUGCUGACCUGACAAGCUCAGGGGAGGCCUGC